GUCUGACUUCUCAAGAACUACAUGCUCUUCGAUUCUAGGAAACAAAGGAAAGAGCAAGAGGCUGUGGAAAAUCAAACUCUGCAGCAAACUCCUGCUCAAGGCAGGGAUGCACGUAGUGUUUGUUAGAAGAAGGUGGGGGGGAAUCUGUUUAUCCAGAGACUCCUGCACGGUUGACAAUCCAAAUGCACUUUUGAAGGCUCUGUCCUCAGUUUCACCACUGCCAACAACAGGAAGCCUUGUAUUUCAGCAAUUGCUUUGUCAUUUAUCAAUUGGAAGAAGAGACUGGGAACUCCCUCUGGAAGAAUUACACGGUUUUGCAGAAAAUCUGUGAAGUUUGAACAAGCGGCCUUCCCAAGAUGCACCGAAUAUCUCAGCUGAUGUCGACACCAGUCACGAGUAAAUGCAAGAGAAGUGCUACAUGCAAUUAUCUUUUGAAUGAUUAGAUGCCUUUUAGCAAUUUCCUUGCUUUGAUUUCGCUGAUACUCAGACCAUUAACCAUCUGUCAGUAGCUUGUGCUUCUUAAAUGCCAAUGUGCGCCUCAGCAAUGAUUUUGACUUCAUUUCUUUCCUUGAGAGAAAUGUGGUAUUUUUCCUCGUAGCAGAAAACAUCCC
rnacentral:lncRNA from 1 species